CCGGAGCGCGCUCCAUUCGGACCCUGGUCCCCUGCACUGCCUACGCAGGAUGAAUGACAUGAAUUUGAGCCCAGUGGGGAUGGAGCAGCUGUCUUCAUCCUCUGUGAGCAAUGCCCUGCCAGUCUCAGGAAGUCACCUGGGUUUGGCUGCCUCUCCCUCUCACAGUGCUAUCCCUGCCCCAG